rnacentral:rRNA from 1 species
CCUACGGGUGGCAGCAGUGGGGAAUAUUGGACAAUGGGCGAAAGCCUGAUCCAGCCAUGCCGCGUGUGUGAAGAAGGCCUUCGGGUUGUAAAGCACUUUCAGUGGGGAAGAAAGCCUUGGGGCUAAUACCCUCGAGGAAGGACAUCACCCACAGAAGAAGCACCGGCUAACUCCGUGCCAGCAGCCGCGGUAAUACGGAGGGUGCGAGCGUUAAUCGGAAUUACUGGGCGUAAAGCGCGCGUAGGCGGUCUGAUAAGCCGGUUGUGAAAGCCCCGGGCUCAACCUGGGAACGGCAUCCGGAACUGUCAGGCUAGAGUGCAGGAGAGGAAGGUAGAAUUCCCGGUGUAGCGGUGAAAUGCGUAGAGAUCGGGAGGAAUACCAGUGGCGAAGGCGGCCUUCUGGACUGACACUGACGCUGAGGUGCGAAAGCGUGGGUAGCAAACAGGAUUAGAUACCCCUGUAGG